rnacentral:rRNA from 1 species
CCUCCUACGGGGCGCAGCAGUGGGGAAUAUUGGGCAAUGGAGGAAACUCUGACCCAGCAAUGCCGCGUGAAUGAAGAAGGUCUUCGGAUUGUAAAGUUCUUUAGUCAGGGAAGAAGUCAAUGACGGUACCUGAAGAAUAAGCUCCGGCUAACUACGUGCCAGCAGCCGCGGUAAUACGUAGGGAGCAAGCGUUGUUCGGAAUGACUGGGCGUAAAGGGAGCGCAGGCGGGAAGCCAAGUCAGCUGUGAAAACUACGGGCUUAACUUGUAGACUGCAGUUGAAACUGGUUUUCUUGAGUGAAGUAG